rnacentral:misc_RNA from 1 species
AAAGAGUGAAGCGAAGCUCAUUCGUAAUACAUUAGCAUCUCAAUUUCGAACUUCGGAUUGACUCAGCGUGAUAGACUAUUCGCUGAGGAUCAGGUUUUGUUACCUGGCCGAAUUAAGAUAACUAGAAGCUUCUAAUCCCCCCACUAGUCAAAACUAUAAGAUUAGACCUCAGAUCAGGCAGGAUUACCCGCUGAACUUAA